rnacentral:lncRNA from 1 species
AAGUUCUCCGGCGUAGACCUCUUUCUCGCUUAGCAAUACAUUCAACCCUCUAAUCUCUUCACUAGCUUUGGAGAGUUGCUCCGAAAAUAUUAUCUCGAAGAGAUUUUUGUCCUUGUCAGCUUGAUUUGAGGAAGCCUUCUCAAUUGCUAACUCUGAAGUCAAAACCUUCAACUGCUGCUCUAAGGUGCAAUUACUUUAUUCUAACACUUUCAUAUAAUUUGAAGGCUUUCAUAUUGUUCUUUCCAGCUGUCUGCUUUAUAUGAUAAUCAUGCAUUAGCUGCUCCGUAUGAGAAACCCUCUUCGUCAUUUCUGUGCCAAUAAGAUUGAUCUAAAAAAAAAGGAAAGGGGUAAGAAUCUUAAUAAAAGACGGAAGGAAUAAAGAGUAAAAAGAAACAAAUACCUUUAAUGAUGAUUGCACUAUGUCAUUCAUCCAAGUCAAAGAGCUAUAACUCUCGAGCUUGGAUUUCUCAACUGGACCGAUUAGAGGUUUCAACCAUACAUCAGCCCAACCUGACUUUUUCAAAAGAUUACCAUCGACAAGGACCUCAAUGGUAAUCUGUUUCAUCAUUCCAUUUCCACUCGAAAAAUCAAUCUUAGUACGAGGAGCAGUAGUAAGAGGAAUUGUAGAGGAAGUAAUCACAAUUUAGGGCAGAGCAGCAACAACUGCAGUCACAACUGGUAAAUAAAGAGCCACAGGGACAUGCAUUGUAAAUGAGGCAAGGGGUACUUCAUUGGAAACCAAAUCCAAAUUUUCACUAUCAAACCUAUGAGAAAAGAGCUGAUCAAUAGAGUCACGAGCUAUUGCAGGAUUAUCAUUAUCAGAGGUCACCAAUGUGGCUUAGAUAGCCUCGGUUAUAGGGACAGAAUGGGGAGGAGUCGCUUCAUCAUCUAAAAAGACGCAUCUUUUGGCUCGCGGCCUUUUUGUCAUGGAACCUCUAUCAUGUUCCUCCUCUUCUUCAGAAUCUUGGACAACUUUAACUGGCACUGGCAGGCACCCAAAAAAGUCAGAAGAAAUAGGUUCUCGAACCUCUUAAUAUUCUGAGGAGGUAUCGGGAGAAUGAACCUAAAUAGCAAAAGGGGCAUAGAUACGUAUUAUUAGUAAUUAAUAGGCUUUAAUUACGGAAAAUACUAUAGAAUCUUUAUUUAAACAGAUAUGAUUGAAAAUUAUAACGUUAUAUAUAUUAUAAUUAUUUUGGGUCAACCAGCUAAAUGUGAAACUUGCCCUAUUAUGUUAAUUACUAAUUAAUUAGCCCAUUAAAUUUGCUCUAAACAAACUCUUAUAGAGCUUAAUCUUUCUACUCCAUAGACAUCAGUGACGUGUUGGGCCACUCCAAAUUCAAAUUAAAAAAACGUGUGUACAUCAAUUAACAAGUCUUAAUCAGAAUUUAUGACAUUUAAUUAAAUGAAAGCUAUUCUUAAAUUGGGGCUCUAUACAUAGUUGUUCCUAUGGACCAUAAAUUGUACGAAUAGCCUUAAAAUUUGACAACAAAUGCUAAUCUUAAAUAGACAAGAGGAAAGAUUGCUCUCAGGCCAUGGGUGGAAUGAUCCGUCUUUAAUUGGCUGAUGGAGAACCUAGUGCUAGGUUCAUAUAAACCUAGCGUUAUAUAUAGAAAUUAUUACAAUUGUAAUAAAUAAUAGAUUCUUAAUCAAUAGAGCAUUGCGUAGAUUUUUUUUAUUUUUCACUCGAUCCCUAUUCAUAUUAAGAUUCGAUUAAAUUUGAAUUUGCAUAAAAAAAUACCAUAUUCAAAGAUAAAGUACUCUCUAACAAACAAUUUCAUACCCAAGACUUAAAGCUGAGACCUAUGUUGGAAUUUGGACUUACGUUAAUUGGUUAUAACCUAAAAGGAUAGUGACAUGACCCAAAUGGUGGAUAAAUAAAAGGCAUAAUAUUAAAUAUUGUGUGUGUGGAUAAGUGAGGCCUAAUAACUAUUGUCCUGUGAUGUGUAGACACUUUUUAUAAAUAGAAGUCAACCCCCUUUCCCUAGCUAUUAGAAAACCUUAGCGUAUUCUGCUUCUUGAAUACGUGGUAACGGUAGACGUCCCAUCAGUUAAGUUCUCUGGGUUAUGAGAGCGUGUAGCUAGUGGAUUGUGAAAGUUGGUCUCAAGAUUAAUCGCCAUUUACUGUCCCUGCUGAAUACUUGAAAUUUAACGGUACGCUUCCUUGGACUCUAGUGUGAAUUAAUAAUUUUACAGUUGAUAUAAGAGCUACUAUAAUUAGAGAUUAAGACCGUUAGUAAUCUCGAGUAAAUCAUCAAAAGAAUUGCUAUAUAGAAGUACCGCUUAAUAUUCAAUACGACGGUGAGAAACUCGAUUUAGGGUUCGACGUCUACAAUUGAUGACACUGUUGGCAAUGGAACUACUCGGUCAUUGUAUUGCCUUUGAUAAUUAAUGAAGGCAACAGUAUAGUGGUUUCAAACGCUAUUGGCUUUAUACAAAGGGUAAGGAAGGAAAUUUAGUCGCUAAUUAAUUUACCACAUAAUAGCUGCGCACGGUGAUGAGUUUCAUCAUUUUAAUGAAAGCAAUAUUUUGACCUACGUUUUGAGAUUGACUUGAUUCUGUCUUUUAGUAUAUGUAGUUGAUAUUUCUUUUUGAUUCUGAUAAGUUACGUGGGCCACAACUCCAAAUAGAAUAUCCUUUUGCCAACACACUAAAUUAUAUUUAUUUUGUGGAGUGAAAGAAUCUUUAAUACUUAGAUAAAACAGAAUGUUUGAACUUGCCGUGAUAUUACGACUUUUGUCUGUUAUCAUAUUCUUUAUUUAACGUUAUACUUGAUUGUGUAUAGGGGAUUUUCGUAUGUCUAUGACUUGUUUGUUGGCAUAUUGUAUAUGAAUUGAUACAAUAAAUUGUCACUGGGACUUGUUUUUUUUAAUAUUAGUUAGAGAAUGGAAUAAAUAAAUAAAAGAUUUGAAUAUAUGGGCUAAAUUUAUCCCACAUGUAUAUGGUAUUAUAUAAUAAGUAUUGAUGAUUAAUGAAUAUUUUCCAUCAAAGUGGUCUAUUUAUUUGGAAUCAUUGAAAAUUCUUAAAAUUUUGAUACAUGUGAAAAAUAUUAUACAUAGAUUGAGAUUUAUGAUUGAUGAAUAGUUUUCACUCAAAGUGGUCUGUUUAUUUGAGUCAUUGAAAUAUUCUUGAUACUAUAUCUAAAUUGUUCUUUAUGACUGUAUGCUAGUGUUGGAGGUUUACCUUUUAAUACUAGUGAUGGUAAAUUAAUUUAUGAUAUAAGAUAUUAUAUUUCAACCCGAAGGAUAAGCUUAAUAUCUUGGAUUCUCAUGUGUGUGUGUUUGUGUGUGUGUGUGUGUGUGUAUAUAUAUAUAUACACACAAUAAAUAAGGAUAAUUUAAUGUAAGGGGAGGUUUUGUGUCUCUUACCUAAAGGAAGGACAUAAUUUAUGCCUUAUGCUCUUGGAUAACAGGGGGUGGAUUUGUAUCUCUUGCCUAAAGGUGAGGAUGCAAUGAACUCCUUGGACUCCUUGAUUUUUAAAAGGGGAGAGAAUUGCAUCUUCUACCCAAAGAAGGGGUGUGAUGGAUGUCUUUGAUUCUUUUGAUCUAUAUAUUCUGGCCUAUAAUUUUAUCUAAUCUUUAUGUUGUUUGCUUAUACAACUGUUAGUAAAAUGACUACUUAGUUGAAUUUCAUUAAAACUUUAAGUAAUAGCAACUACAAGAAAUGGAAACAGAAUGUUGAAAUAAUGUUAGGUCUGAUGGAGCUGGACUUUACCUUGACUGAACAGAAACCUGCUGGACCUACAAAUACUAGCAUCACUGAUGAAAAGGCUAAGUAUGAAAAUGGAUAAAGGCUAACAAAUGGAGUCUUAUGAUCAUGAAGAGAUCCAUUUUUUGAUCACAUAAAAGGUACAAUUAAGGAUAAUGGAAAUGCAAAAGAUUUUCUUGAGUGCCAUUGGAUAGAAAUUCCUAGAAUCUAAUAAAUCUGAGAUAGGUAGCCUCAUUGAUUCCUUGUCUACCAUAAAGUAUGAUCUUGUAGGUAGUGUCCAUGAUCACAUUAUGAAAUUUGUUAACAUUGCUACCAAGCUGAACAGUUUAGGUGUAAUCAUUACUGAAGAUUUUCUUGUUCACCAAUCUCUAAGGUCCCUUCCUGAACAAUUUAACCAACUUAAGACAAUUAUAAUGCACAAAAGGAUAAGUGGAGUAUUGAUGAGCUUGUUGCUGUUUGUGUGGUAGAGGAAGGAAGGAUCCAAAAGGAGAAAAUUGAGGGUGUAGUGAACUUUGUUAGUUCGUCUGGAUCUCCUGUUUAUCCCUCUUAUAAAAGAAAAGGUGGACCCAAAUUUCACAAAAAGAAACAUGGUCAUUCUUAUCAUCCAGAUGGUAAUAGUGGUCGUUCUAAUAAGACUGGUGCUAACCAAGGUCAGUCACAUAAUUUUCUUGGUUCUCAAGCUGUAAUUAAGAAAGAAAUCAAGUGCUGAGAAUGCAAACAAGUAGGUCACAAGAAAGCUGGAUGUUCUCUGAAAAAGAAAUCAAGUAACUUUUGGUCUUUGUCCGCUUUGAAACUAGUCUCUUUCAUGUUCCUUUAAAUUCCCGGUGGUUGGAUAGUGGAGCAACUGUUUAUAUAACCAAUGACUUGCAGGACCUAAUAAUCAGAACGAAGCCAAAAGAGGAUGAAGCCAAUGUUGUUGUGGGCAGUAGACUCAAAGAAAAAGUAAAGUUUAUAGAGAUGUCUAUUUUACCUUUUAAGAAUAAUUCUUGUAUUCGUUUAAAAAAUACUAUUGUUGUACCGUCUAUGAGAACAAAAAAUUAGUUUCGGUUUUCCUUUUGGACAAAACUGGUUAUCAUUUCAACAUAAUGUUAC